UGGCAGCAGGAUCAGUUGUCAGUGAUGGCUGCUGUUGAUCAAUGCUUUUGACGGAUUACAGUGUAUAUACUCCAUAAAUAACUCAGAUAUGUGUUGUAGAUAAUAAACUAAAAUGGGUAAGGACGCCGAUUUACUGGAAGCUGCUCGGAGUGGCAACUUUCAAGUGGUGGAGAAGAUAUUAAGCUCAAAAGCGAAGAUCAGGACCACUUGCAAGUUUACGUCGAGGUCCCGGAGCCAACGUUCAGGACACCACCGGGUACACGGCGCUCCACCAUGCUGCUCUCAAUGGCCACAAGGACGUGGUGUCGUUGCUGCUGGCUCACGAGGCGUCAUGUAACGUACAGGAUGGGAAGGGGUCGACGCCGCUACACCUGGCCGCCUGGGCUGGCCACACCGAGGUGGUCAAGGCGCUCCUCCACCAGGGCCCAUCCCUCGCCAACGUCAACCACCAGAACAAGGGGGGUGAGACCGCCCUGCACUGCGCGGCGCAGUAUGGUCACACUGAGGCGGCGCAGAUGUUACUAGCUCAAGGGGGCGACCCAACUGUACCCAACCUACAGGCGGAGACGGCCCUCGACCUGGCCGCGCAGUACGGCCGCCUGCACACAGUGGAGGUGUUAGUACGGGCGCAGCCAGACCUACUGCGCCCUUACACCGUAGCUGCGGCCUGCCGCAGUCUUCCCCCACC